rnacentral:rRNA from 1 species
UAUCGGAGGUGUCUACCUCUUCCCAUGCCGAACAGAGCAGUCAAGCCCGCCAGAGCCGAUGGUAUUGCCGUAACAGGUGGGAGAGUAGGUCGGUGCCUUUU